GCGCACGUAGGCGGACAUUUAAGUCAGGGGUGAAAUCCCGGGGCUCAACCCCGGAACUGCCUUUGAUACUGGGUGUCUAGAGUAUGGAAGAGGUGAGUGGAAUUCCGAGUGUAGAGGUGAAAUUCGUAGAUAUUCGGAGGAACACCAGUGGCGAAGGCGGCUCACUGGUCCAUUACUGACGCUGAGGUGCGAAAGCGUGGGGAGCAAACAGGAUUAGAAACCCUVGUAGUCC
rnacentral:rRNA from 1 species